CGGUAAUUCUGGAUCCUUAACCCCCUGAGUGAGGCCAGGGAUCGAACCUACAACCUCAUGGCUCCUAGUUGGAUUCAUUUCCCCUGCACCACGAUGGGAAUGCCUUUGCUGUGCUGCUUUUACAAUCGGCCCACAAACUCUCCGAUGCUCUUUCAAGAGGAACCUAAGUCCUCUCCUCUUGAGUGAGGGCAGACUUAGGGAUUGCUUCUUGAAUAGACUGUGGCAGAAAAGAUGGCGUGGUGCUUUGGAGACUUAAGUCACGAAGGACAUGCGGCUUCCGUCUUGCUCUGUCUUGGAUACUCAUUCGGUGGGAAGCUUGCUGCCACAUGGUGAGGGCACCCGAGUGGUCCUGUGGAAAAGGCCACGUGGCAAGGAACGGAAGCCUCCUGCCAAGAGUCACAUGAGGAGUCAUCUUCCAGCCCCCACUGAGCUCUGAGCUGAUGCAGCCCCAGCCAACCUCAUGAGAAGACCCUGAACCAGAACUUAGUUAAGCUUUUCCCAAACACCUGACCUGCACAAACUGUGAAAUAAUAAAUGCUUGUCGCUCUAAGUUGCUGGAUUUUAAGAAAAAAAUUUUUAUGCAGCAAUAGAUAGUACAUAUGCCAGGUUUAAAAACUAAGAUACGGUCAUCAGGGAAACAGAGCUGCCAGGAUCAGCUGAAGCACUGAGUCUUCCGUGUGCAAAUGAUGGUGCAGUGCUAAUCCAGCCCCCUGGACUGGUGGCAGUGGUCCCUCCUCCCUUGACCCUUCCCAAGCUCCCACCUGAACCAGUGCUAUGUCAUCCAGCUCAGAGGCAACAGAAGGACAACACUGUGUGUUGGGAGACAGGUCUGCCUGGCGGGCACACAGCUGUCAAGUCGGCCCUCGGGAAGGGACCUCCCGAGGGGAGCCACAGCCUGCCAUGUCCUGCAGACACUGACUCUUUGCUGGUGAGCUUGCGCUUUUUCAGGAGGUCUCAAUGUCACCUAUUCCAGUAAAGAUUAUGUGUACCCAUGUCUUGUCUCCCAAAGAUGCUCUUCCUGUCCUGUGUACAGAGUCUCCUGGGGACAUUCCCCCCACCUGGGAAAUGGUCACCCACCUCUCUGUGCUACAGGAGCCAGGGGAUCUGAGCAAGGUGGAUUAGCCAGCUCAGCUUGCCCAGUCGGAUUUCUCUCCCCGGGAAUUGGAAAUUGGAAUUUGGUGAGACUCCGUUGGCCCCCAAACUGAGGACUUAUAAUUAGAAACUGGAGAGGCAUCUGCCACCAUUGGCCAGAGAAGCAGAGAAAGCUGAUCUAUAGAGAAAGAAGGCUCUUUUGCAGAAAGAGAAGGAUGAAAUAGAGGAGCUGAGAGAAGUGGAGACUCGUGCAGUUCUGCAGAAGGGGCUGCAAGAGCCACUGUCUGGCCCAGCCCUGCGGGUCUGGUGCUGGCCCCUUGGCUCUAUGAGAGUCUCUGGACCAUUGGAUGGCGGUGCCCAUUUUUGUUUAAGUAGAGUGGCUUUCUUACCACCAAACAAGCCUGAACUAAGGCCCUGCGCUUAAAAGGAAUCUCCGAGAUUGUUUGAUCAACACUCUGCAGUUUACAAUGAGGAUUCUGAGAUCCAGAGAGGUGCAGUGAGGUACCCUCGGCCAUAUAGCCCAUUCAUGACAACAGUUUCCUGACUUCUGGGCCAGUGGUGCUCUGUGGCUCCCUGGGGCUGGCUGUACUUCCAAGGGCAAUACAAUGAGAGAGAAGGAGGACAGACCUCGGGGGCCGCUGAAUCAGGACAUGCGUCAGUGGUGUGGCCGCAGACUGAGCAGUGAGUCUGAAAGCUCCACCCCAACUCCAACCACAGAGGACCCGGCAGGUGAAGCAGGUGGUGGCAAUGGAGCAGGAUGGGAAGAGAAAGAUGGCCCAGGAAGGACCCUUAAGAAUAGAGACAAGAUCAGGUGAGGUCACCCCAAAUCCUUUCUGAUGGGAAGCACCUUGGACCUUUCGAUUUCCUGGAAGCGGCCAGUGAAAUCCCACUCCGUCUGCAUGUUCACCUGAGAAGGGGGUGAAUUAACCCCGCCCAAAGGACAAUUUAAAAGGACAAUAGAGGCGUUCCCAUCGUGGCUUCAGCAGAAACUAAUCUGACUAGUAACCAUGAGGACACAGGUUCGAUCCCUGGCCUCGCUCAGUGGGUUAAGUAUCUGGCCU